GCAAGUGGUCAGUAAAAGACAUGAGCACAGUAUAAGUAUGUGAGAUCUUGCUGUUUUGAUCUGAAUUGGUAGUCAUCCCAUUGCCUAAGUAAGAGUAAAAUCAGUGUUUGAAUUUAUCAUAUGUACAAGAUUCAAUUUCUGAAGUAUAAUUAGAAAAGGAUAAACAAGUUUGUGGAACAAAAUUGUGUAUCUAUUCAGUUGUGAGGUUAAAGUUAGGAACCUCUUUUGUUUAAGGCAGUUUUUGCAAGAAACCCCCUCCCUAAUGUAACCACUUCAGAGGUCUUUGCCACCCCUUUCGUACUGGCCACUCCUUUAUGGGAAAAUUUUUCUAUCACAACGCCCUGUUUCUCAAUGGGGAAUUAUUCUCUUGCUUGGGAGGCAAGCUCUAUGACCACUGUACAGGCUUAGUGCUCUCCACUUCCAGAUGACUGCUCAGGCUGCAUGCCAACCUCUGUCUGAGACCACAAUGCAUCACCCCUUGGACCUGGAAUCUGCCAAGUUCCAGACACUGGCUAAAGCACCAACCCCUUGAAUGGAGGGACCCCGAAAAACCGGGACAGCUCUACAUCCAUUUACCCACAGAUUGGACAGGGAAUUGUUCCAUCGGGCUUGUCCAACCAAAGCUUUUCUUUUUGUCAGGGCAGAUGGGAGGUUUCUUAGGAGUAAAGUUUUGGACAGAAGUAGGAGUAUUGAUACCUCCAUGACCAGUGCAGGUGAUGCUAAUGGAUGGGGAGACACUUGGCCCCCUGAAAGAAUAAUUAAGACAUCUGGUCUAACUACUUGGGCCUAGGAUGGUAGUUGGGGGUAUAGGACCCCCAUACAUAUAUAUGUAUGUAUAUAUAUAUAUAUGUGUGUAUAUAUAUAUAUAUAUAUAUAUAUCCUCAACAGAUUAAUUAGAUUAUUUGCUGGCUGAAAAAGGUGGGGUUUGUGGGAAAUUGAAUCUCUCCACCUGUUGUAUGAAGAUAGAUGAUAAUGGCCGCAUUGUGAAAAAUAUAGCGGACAAUAUCAGGAAGAUUGCUCAUGUCCCCAUCCAAACUUGGUCCAGCCUCUUUAAAACUUCUUGGUGGUCUUGGUUUGGAGGAAGUUGGUGGAAACAAAUUCUGUGGUUUGUGCUAAUUGCCAUUAGUAGCAUAAUAUUACUCCCUGUGUGCCUCCCCUGUGUGAUGCAGCUAAUUACCCAAACUGUUCAAGAAGCCCUGUCUCAGAUGAUCAGAUUAGAAGGGAAGGCUGAAGGGUCACUAUGACUGAUGAUUUUAAAAGGUCAGGGGUGGACCCCAGUCGACCCUGAAGGUCAAAACGAGCCUGAGGGCAGAGAAGACAAUCUGAUGGAAGAGGCCUAUCAAGAAUAGUGUGAGGAGGCUUCAAAUAGUAGAAAAGAAGAGGAGGGAUUGUGAGAGAUGAUCUCUGAGAAUCUCUCAGGAAUGAAGCCUCCUCAGGGAGUUAAUUGCUUCUUGUUCUGUUGAGACACUUGCAACUGGUUGACCUCAUGAAGAAACAUGCUUUUCAACUUUAUCAGCCCUCCUCCUCCCUCUCUAAAACGAUUUACUCUAAAAAGUACAACUUACCUGUCUCCAGGUAAGUUGUAAAAAGAGUCCUUGUUCUUUAUUGCUGGGGUAGAUUGCCUCGAAUAGAUUGUACCCUCAGAGCUUGCAUUAAUGAGCCCUGAAGAGGGGGCUGGGAAAGGAGACUGAGCUAGGACCUAUAUAACCUGUUGAUCUGAACACACCUCUGCUCUCUUGGGUCAGCGCCAAUUUUUUGGUGGUCUGAGGGAGCCCUUUCUCGAGAAAGCUAAUAAAUGAAUUUUUCUUUUAGCUAAUA